UAUGGCCAUACCAAGUUGAAAUACCAGUUCUUGUAUGAUCCCCAAAGUUAAGCAACAUCGAACCUGAUCAGUACCUAGAUGGGUGACUGUUUGGGAAUAUCAGAUGCUGUAAG